rnacentral:rRNA from 1 species
UAGGGUUUGAUUAUGGCUCAGGAUGAACGCUAGCGGCAGGCUUAACACACGCAAGUCGAGGGGUAACAGGAUAAAGCUCGCUUUUUCGCCGACGACCGGCGCACGGGUGCGUAACGCGUAUAGAAUCUACCUUUUACUAAGGGAUAGCCUUUAGAAAUGAAGAUUAAUACCUUAUAGUAUUAUUGAUUGGCAUCAAUUAAUAAUUAAAGAUUUAUUGGUAAAGAUGACUAUGCGUUCUAUUAGUUAGUUGGUGAGGUAACGGCUCACCAAGACAGCGAUAGAUAGGGUCCUGAAGGAGACUUUCACACUGGUACUGAGACACGGACCAGACUCCUACGGGAGGCAGCAGUGAGGAAAUUGGUCAAUGGAGGCAACUCUGAACCAGCCAUGCCGCGUGCAGGAAGACGGCCCUAUGGGUUGUAACUGCUUUUAUACAGAAGAAUCACUUCGACGUGUCGGGGCUUGACGGUACUGUAAGAAUAAGCACCGGCUAACUCCGUGCCAGCAGCCGCGGUAAUUAAUU